GGACUGUGAAUGCAGCCCGUGAAAAAGAGGGUUUUCGGAAGCUUGACAUUUAUGAGGGUGAGGAAUUGACAAGCCGACAUCAGUCUCCAGAGUGAAUCCAAGGAGUGGACCCAAGACAUUUGUGUUCUGUGAUGUGGUGGCAUGUUACCUGUCAUCUCCGAUGCAUAACUCCUAAAGUGCGUCUGGGGCAGUUGUACAGAUUGCAGAGGAUAAUACUCAAGAUGUUCUCCAAGGCCAACUAGUCAUCAGUUUAUUCAUGUUUCUGGGAUUGGAUUCAUGAACUCAUCCUUUGAACUAUUUCAACAAGCUUUUUCAUGUAACUAAUCUGCGGAAGGUAGAAAGGGGAAAACUGUUGGGUGCUAAAAUGACAACUGGUUCAAGGUACAAUGGCGAAUAUUUUUAUUUCUGCAACUUUUCUUAGAGGUUGGAAACUGGACUGGGCAGGAAGAUUCCUUUUUGUAAGAUUAGUCUCCAGUUUUCAUCAAGCAGUUUAGUGGGGUAUUUUAGGCCCAGUUCCCUCUCCACAGUCCCCAAAGGUCUUCUGUUAACUUUAAAUCCGCAAAGAGAGAGAUCUCUGCCAAGCAGCAACUGCAAGAGCAUGUGGGUCAAUGUUACCAGCAGACACUCAAAGCCCAUUCCCUUUACUUCAACACCGCUUUAUAAAUUAUCUUAGAGACGUUGUCAGGUUGGUAUUAGAGGUGAGUGGUCAUGACUUCACGAUUUCUCAUCUUUCUGAAUGCAUAGUGGCUGGGAGUGGUGGCUCAUGCCUGUAAUCCCAGCAGUUUGGGAGGCCGAGGUGGGCAGAUUGUUUGACCACAGGAGUUCGAGACCAGCCGGGGUAACAUGGCAAGACCCCAAUCUCUACCAAAAAAAAAAAAAAAAAAUACAAAAAUUGUCUGGGUGUGGUGUGCAUGCCUGUAGUCCCAAGUCCCAGCUACUCUACUUGGGAGGCUGAGGCAGAAGGAUCACCUGAGCCCAGGAAGGCCAAGGCUGCAGUGAGCCCUGAUGGUGCCACUGCACUUGACCUUGGGCAACAGAAUGAGAAUGAGACCCUGUCAAAAAAAAAAAAAAAAAAAAAAAGAAAAAAAAAAAGAAAGAAAAAGAGAGAAAGAGAGAGAAAGAAAGAAAGAAAAGAAUGCAUAGUGAGAUUUUACAGUAAAACUCUUUCUUAGAGGCUAAAAACUCUGGGGAUCUCACGAUGUGGGUACAUUUCUAGAGAUAAUAUUUUAGAUCUCUAUAGAUAUUAUUUUAAUACAUCUUUUUCUUUUUGGUUUGACUGUGUAUCAUAUGGCUUUUCUUCUUGGAAGUUAUCAAACUUCUCCCUAACUAAGGUCCUUGCAUAUGCUGACCUGUUUGACAUACUCCCACUCUGGUCUACUCAUUCUUCAGGUAUCAUUUUCAUUCCUGUCACUACCCCUUAACCCAACCCAGACAAGGUUAUUGUGCACUGAAUCAUUUCAAAAUGCCACUUUAAAAAUGAGUAAAUAUUUAUGUAAUUAUGUGUUGAAUAUACCUCCUCUUUACAAGCAUAUAAGUCUAUGAUACAAGUCUAUGCUUGUCUCUUCUAAUUCUGGUACAUCAUGUGAUAUGAGAACCAUGGUAGGCAAUCAAUAAUGCAGAGACGAAAUGUUUUUAUCUUAGAGAGACUCUCACAGAAGUUUCUAGUUUAGAGAUGCUUCACUGAAGUUUAUGGCCUCAACUUCCUUGGGUCUUGAUUACUAUCAGUGGAUGCAGUGAUGGAGGGUAGGUAAAAUCCAAUGUUAUCUACAAGUUCUAGACUACAGCCAACAAACUUUUUCCAAAAUAGGCCAGAUAAUAAAUAUAUUAGGUUUUUUGGGCCAUGAAGUCUCUGCUGCAACUACUCAGCUCCACAUUUGUAGUGGAAAAGCAGUUAUAGAUGAAACAUAAAAUGAAUUAGUGUGGCUGUGUUCAAAAAAAGCUAUUUUCAAAAACAGCCAGUGGGAAAGCUUUGGUCCUUGAGCCAUAGUUUGCAAAAUUUUGUUCUAAACAGUAAUUCCUUCACUGGAGAUUUUAAAAACAGAAAGAGAAUACAGACAGCUAUACAUGUUCUGGUCUAUUCCUGUUCUCUAGUAUAGCAGCACCUUAAAAUUGUAUUACUAACAGAGUACAGGAGAUUGUAUGGAAGGCCUAUAGUGAUGACUCUUUCAUCAGCUUUGUUCGUAAUAAAUUAACUGUAUGUGUUUCAGAGAGUCAUAUGACUCCAAAAUGAUUUAACACAUGCUGCUACAAGCCAGCCUUCUUAAGUUUUUAUUAAAUCUUGAUUGUUUUGGUCACAUAAUUUUUAUAUUAAAUCCUGUGAUACUCAUUGUUUUUCUAUAAAAAUCAUCACAUUUCAAGUGUUAGGUAGUGUGUAUAGAACUGACAGGUAAUAAUUUUGACAGGUAUGGGAUUAAAUAGAAUCCAUCCAAAACCAUUUACUUUCCUUAUACAUUAUAGCAGAAGUGGCUAAAUUAGAGGGUUGUUCCUGUCUCCAUCAUGCACUUCUGUCUUCUACUCCAUCCCUUGUAUAUAUUGGGGAUAUUUUGAGCCAAGUGCUAACGUUACUUACACAGCUGAUAUUUCAGAUUAAUAUGAAUGCUGACCGUUUGCCCUCACAACAUGCCCACAACACAUGGAUUAUACAGGGGAAUUAAUCGUUAGCAAUGAAUUCAACAUUUAGCUUUUAACAUUUUUAUUCUGCCAGUAAGGCCAGAGAAUAAAUCUAUUCUUUCUAGCAGGCAAUUAUUAAUCUCUGGCUUUCACAAACAGCAAACGGCCACUGAAUCCAGCUGACAGCAUAUAUUUAUUUAAAGAUUAAUAAGGAGAAUUAUUUAUAUUAGUUAAAACGUAUUCUUCAUUAUGUUUAAAUCUUUCCAGAGCUAUGGCAGGAGUUGGAUUGGAGUAUACAGAAUGGAUUAACUUAUUCUAAUUGUUAUCUAAAGUAGAGGCAUUGAGCACUGAUAUGGUUUGGCUGUGUCCUCAACCAAAUCUCAUCUUGAAUCAGUUCCCAUAAUCCCCACGUGUCAAGGGCGGGACCAGGUGGAGGUAACUGAAUCAUGGGAACGGUUUCCCUCAUGCUGUUCUCAUGAUAGUGAGUGAGUUCUCACAACAUAUGAUGGUUUUAUAAGCGUCUGUCAUUUCCGCUGCUGUUACUCAUUGUCUCUCCUGAUGGCCUCUGGAGAGAUGCCUUUGCCAUGAUUGUGAGUUUCCUGAGGCUUCCUAGCCAUGUGGAACUGUGAGUCAAUUAAACGUCUUUUCUGUAUAAAUUACCCAGUCUUGGAUAUUUCUUCAUAGCAGUGUGAGAACGGACU
rnacentral:lncRNA from 1 species